UUUAUUUUCUGUUCAUUUUACUUAUUUACAAUGUGCAUGCGUUAUAUAUAGUUUUAACUCGAUUUCUUUGUUAGGUGUCAACCAUGGACAAUAACACUGACAGGACUGAUAGUGAUUACCUGUAGCUGGUUAAUUUUACACUCAGUAGUCGUCACUGCAGUAGUUCUCUCUCUGAUUUGUGCGUGGUGGUACAUCUUUUUGUAUACUUACCCAAAGGCAUAUUCAGAGAUGAUUGCUGAGCGGAGAAAGAAAGUGACAGACGGUGUUGAAGACACAUUUGGUUUGAGAAAGAGCCAAUGAUUUUUAAGAGGGGAGGGAGGCGUGGGGUGGGGUUGGGUUGGGUAAAAAGAAAUUUUGCAAAUGUUUAUGCAAGCACGGGAAUUACACCAACCUAUGAAAGUGUAUAGGUCCGGAUAUUGUGUUAACUGAUUGAUGAUUAGCAAUGAAGAGAAUUUGUGAUGUGAAAAAA